AAGAGGAAAGAAACGAAUCUCGAACCGAGUCAUUCGACGACACGCUAAAAGCUUCUUAAAAUCGUACAAAGCACCAUUACAGUAAUCGUAAUCGUAGUCGUGGCCGUACGCCGGCAACAGGGACGUGGACUCGUGCGGGGCCGGGCAGGGAAGAUGCCUGGGUCAGGCGAGCUCGUUGCUUUCCGGAAAGUGGUCACGGCAGUCGAGGCAGGCGGCCAGGUCGAGCACCAGAUGAUGAAGGGUGGGAUGCUCGAGGACCUCUGCGUCCGGCAACGGUGGAUGACAACGGGGCCUCUGCUGUCGACCCCUGAACGACCGGUGCAGAUUCAACACCACGUCGCAGAACACGUAGCGCACCAGCAACAGUCGUAGGAAAUCGUCGCCGAAGAAUUGCAACACGCUGGUCUCUGCGUGGACCGGUAAAAGCGCACGGUCAGGUCUAAGAUUCUUUCUCUCUCGGGGUUCUGUUCCAGAUCCAGAGAUAUGGCCGACAAAUUUGCAUAUUACUGUUGCUGCUGUUGUUGCCUGCUACUCGAGAAACCUGUUGUUGUUCGAACUUUCGAACGAAUUAUCGCCAGGCUGGAUAGCCAGCUGGCUGGCCCGAUCGAUUUCGGUGAAACUUUCUGAGGGUGAAGUGAAUUAAACGUAUCCGCGCGAAGCUUUACGACG